GAGGUCGCCCCUUUUUCUUCAUCACAAGCCGAGCUCCUCAAGCUCUCUCUCUCUUCCUCAAGACCGGCUGCCGCCAUCGUCGGCCGAUCUCCCUCACCGGAGCUCCACAAGACAAAUCCUUGCACCACUAGCUUCACCUCACUCCGGCGAAUCCAUUUUACCCAUUUACCCCUUCUCUCCCACCUCAAAUCAAGCCACUACCACCACUCUUCUUGCUGCCGCGGCCAAGAUCUUGCCGCCGCCGUUCCGGCCAUUCUCCUCUCUCCCUAUGCCUUCCUCCACCUUCCUCGGGUGCGCGUCAGUCGGGAACACCACCGGCCGCAGACGUCGCCGAUCCUCGGCCACCGGAGCACCGACGCCCUUCUCCCUCCCUCUCCUCUGUACUCGGCUGGAAGGAGAAGAGAGGAAGAAGAAGACGAGAAAAAGAGGUUGAAGGAACACCUGACAGUGGGCCCCACUUUUAUAAAAUAUUGUGCUAACAAGAAGAUCAGAAGGAAGCGAGGUCUACAACAACGACGAGUUUAUCUAGGCUAGUCUACACUCGAGCGUUUGCCUGUGGAGUUCUUUGGAGUGUACUAGUUGUAAUUCUAGUAGUUAAAGAGUUUAGGAGUUUAAUACUUUGGAUUUUCUUGUAUUUCAAAUAAGGAUAUAUUAGUUUGGAUCUUUUCACCCUUUAACAGUUGUAUAAUUAGCAUGUAUAAACAAAUUUGUGUAAAUAAUCGAAAGCUGUUCUGUAUAUCAAUCUGUGCGUGAUCGAAAUCCUGGACGAUCACGAGUGGAUUUUCGGGGCACCAAGCUUAAAUUGGGUGUUCCCACAGAUUUGGAAUGAAAUAUCGCGAGCUGAGUAAAGUUCAUAUUUAAAUUUUGUGUCAAAA